GUUUGCUUUUUUUUAAUUUCAUAGCUUUUUCUUUUUCUUCGUAUUCUUGAAAAAACGAAUUUAAAUUACCACUGACCAGUACAGUUUUUAAACAACUAUAACAUGUUUGUAAAACAAUUUAACAUGCUAUAAUUUCCUUUAUUUUAUGUAUUUCAUGAUAUAAAUGUAUGACAUCAGACAUCAGACUCGGACUUCUCUUGAACUGAAUUUUUUAAUGUGCGCAUUGUUAUGCGUUUACUUUUCUACAUUGACUAGAGGUAUAGGGGAGGGUUUAGGUCUCAUAAAUAUGUUUAACCCCGCUGCAUUUUUGCACCUGUCCCAAGUCUUUGUUAGUCUUGUAUUAUUUUAAUUUUAGUUUCUUGGUUACAAUUUGGAAAUAAGUAUGACGUUCUCUGCUUGAUCAGGAUUCGCUACUUUGCACCCUCUACAUCAACCCCUACCACCGCGUGCUCUAGUAGAUUUUGGUGGCAUGACUGUGUUGUUUCCGAGAAAUCGACGUAUUAAUUAGAAAUAGUAGGAAUGAUACAGUACUCAUAUGAAACACGAUAUUGACGUUACUGCUAGGAGCGUAACAAGAUCGCGGAAUGAGCGCGUUAUGAACGUAGUAUGGACGUGUUAAAAGUGUGCUGUAAUCGCAGUAAAAGCGUGGAAAGAUGAUGUUGCAAUCGGAUAACUCGUGUUAUGGUCGUAGUGAGAACGUGAAAAGCGUAGAAAGAUAUUGAUAAGCGUAGUGAGGUCGCAGAAUAAGCGCGGCGAGAACGUGGUAUUAUCAUAGCGGGAUCGUUGUAGAAGCGUAAUGAGGACGUAGUCGAAUCGUGAAAGCAACGAAAAUUUAAAUUCUCAUGCCGCUCAUACCGCGACCUCACCACGAUCUGAAUUCAUUUCAGAUCGCGGUGAGCGUGAUGCGAUCGUGGUCUAGUGGGACUGGGGCUUAAACGGUUAUUGAAAAGAAGUGAAAAUAAGCAAAAAUUUAAAAAAAAAACAAUAUGACUUUGACCUUUGACUGCACAAGAAAAUAAAUUAGGGGGAAG
rnacentral:lncRNA from 1 species